rnacentral:lncRNA from 1 species
UUUUUUUUUUGGUUUCUAAAUAGAAUUCAUUAUAUGAUUUUUCAUUCAUAUAUUCUUAGAUACAAAUAUUUUGCUUUUAUAACAUUUUAUUCCCACAAAUAAAGGACUAAAUAAAGAAAGUUCUUAUUAUAUAAUAUUUUGUAUCGCUAUAUAAACCUAUAAUUUAGUUAAUAGAAUAUAUUUAUUUCAACAUUCUUUCAAGUUGGAUAAUAGAUGUCAUAUAUUCCCAGUGUGUAUAAUAAUCUUUGAAAAAUCUGACUUAUCAUAACUUUCAUAAGAAUAUUUGUAAGUUGGUAUUCAGAUACAAUAUUGACAAUUCUAGAAUAUUUUUAUCAAGUUUUUUCUUGAUGAACAUGUUUUUUACAGUCAUAUUAAACAAGUUUGUUAGUAAUGUCAUACAAAUUUUAUUAUCACAAUACACCUUAAUGAGAUGUAUAUGUGUAUAUGCUAAAUCUAGAAGAAGUAGUCUAAGUCACAAACAUUCACAAAAUUUAAGAAUAAUUUUUCCACGUACAGUUUUUGCACUAGACUAAAUAGAACUUUUUGUAUUUCUUUGUGACCACGUUACCUUUAUCACUAUAAAAAAAUAUUAUGUACUUAGUGACAAUUUUAAUAUGAUGGUUAUUUAAACUGUCAUUUUUUACGUUAUAAUACAACAGUUGGAAAACUACCUUAAUUUUAAUUAUGUAAAAUGACAUUUUUAACUCUGAUUGUAGAUAUCCUAGUUGUAGAUAUCCAUAUAUAGUCUAUAAUGUUGUUUUAUGGAAUGAAAUUGAAAGUGGUUUGUUUAUUAAAAUAUCUUCAUUACAAAUAAUUUCUUAUGUUAAAAAUUUCUUUCAAUUACUUUACCUUGAAUGUUUCAUUGUGUUCUGAGUUACAAUUAUGUAUAUUAAGAGAUAUAGGUAUAUAUAUACAAAUAAUAUUUGAAAGUGAUUAAAGUUCUGUUUGGUUACAUUUUUUCUUCUAAUAAAUUGUAUUUAUAUACGUACUGUAUGUAUUUGAAUUAUAUUAUUAAAGACUAUAUAAUUUUGUGAAGGUAAAUAAUAUAUAUAUAUAUAUAUAUAUAUAUAUAUAUAUAUAUAUAUAUAUAUAUAUAUAUAUAUAUAUAUAUAUAUGGAGUUUGUUAACUUAGGUAAGGGUUUUUUUAGUUGAUAUAUUUUAGCAAAGUGUAUCAAGUUUUAGGUUAAAAAAAAAUCCCUAUUAAAAAAAAUUAAUUUUAAAUCAAGGAUACUUUAAUAAUUUUAAAAUUUAAUUUAAAAUAAAUAAAAUAAAAAGUAGUUAUUUAUGGUCCACGUCUAUUAGUAGUUAUUUUCUUUUAUUUUAUUUUUCAUUUAAAAAACAACUACCUUUUAUUUUAUUUUUUAUUUUAAAAAUUAACUUCCUUUUCAGCAAUAUAAUAAGAAAUAAUAACUACCCAUAUACAUGGAUGGGAUGAUAAAUAACUACUUUUAUUUUUUUAUUUUUUUAUUUUAAAUUAAAUUUUAAAAUUAUUAAAAUAUUUUAGUCUUUUUAGUAUAACCUUUUUUAUAACCUGAAACUUGGUACACUUUGUAAAAAUGUACCAACUAAAAAAUUCUUACGUAAAAAUGUACCAACUAAAAAAUUCUUACGUAUAUAUAGAGGUUUGCUAACUUGCGUACGUCUGUUUUUCAGUUAGUACAUUUUAGCAAUGUGUACCGGGUUUCAGUAGACAAAAAUACCCUUAUAUCAUGAAUUCUAAGUUUUAAGAUUAGGGGUAUUUUAAUAAUUUUCAUUCUCAAAAUUAAAAAAAUAAAAAAAGAAACCCCCAAAACCCUUACCCACCUCUCUCAUUCCUCUCAACCCUUUCUCUUUCAUCUCUUUCAUUUCAACCUUUUCUCUAUCAUCUCUACUCUAGCCCCAAUUGAAAAAAAUCAGAAACACUUGCCUUAUUUUAAUAACUUUCAUUCUCAAAACUAAAAUAGAAACCUCAAACCCUUACUCACCUCCUUCAUUCUUCUCAACCCUUUCUCCUUCAUCUCUCUCACUCAAACAUUUUCUCUGUUAUCUUUACACUAGCCCCAACUAAAAAAACACUCAUUAUUAAACAAUUUAAUUUUGUAAAGAGUUGAGUCAUUGACAUAUUCGCCUUCCGAAAAAAGUUCAUUUAAAAUCUCUUUAAUUUCAUUAUCUUCACUAUAUAUAUUACGGCCGACGGGCACACCUUACACCAAGACUUAUGCGCAUCCUUCUUUUACAUUCUGAGACUAUUACGUAACAUUGCUCCGUGGCCAUUUAAUUUUUUUUUGGUAGAAAUUCAUUAACUUGUUUUCCUUUACUAAAGAAAAAAUAAAUCAAAAUACAAUAAAAUUCUCAACAAUAAAAUCAAACAAUAAAAAUUCUAAAUCUUGAAAUUUUAUUUAAAAUUAUAUAAAGAAAAAAUUAGGUGCUUUAAUUUUUUUAUUUAUGUAAGUAUUUUUUUCUCUAACCAUUUUAUUUAAUAAUGAGUGUUUUUUUAGUUGGGCUAAUGCAGAGAUGACACAGAAAAAAUUAUUAAAAUAAAGCAAGUGCUUCUGAUUUUUUUCAAUUGGGACUAGAGUAGGGAUGACAGAGAAAAAGUUGGAGUGAAAGAGAUGAAAGAGAAAGCGUUGAGAGAAAUGAGAGAGGUGAGAAAAACAUAUAUAUAUAUAUAUAUAUAUAUAUAUAUAUAUAUAUAUAUAUUAUUUGUUUAAAUUUUAGUUUAAUAUACAUUGUUGUUAUUUUCAUGUUUUAAAUCUAAUAUGCCUUAUAUAUUGCUUAAAUCUUCUAAAUUUUAUUCUCCUUAGUACAAAAAAAAUUGAAUGUUGUCUUCUUUCUAUAAUAUUUUAUCUCUAUUUAAACGUUAACAUAUAUCUAGGUCUUGAUUUCAUAAUUUUACAUUUUUAUGAUGACUUCUAUUUUUAAUUUUCAUUUUAUUUUGUAUUUCUAAGUAAUUUUUUUCUUGGUUAUUAAUUGAUGAAUUUUCUAAGCUUAAUAUCUUAGGUUUUAAAUAAGGUCAUGUUAAACAUCAUUAUGAAUUUUUAUAUCUCAAUUAGGGAUGGCAAAAAAACUUGUACCUGUGAGUAUCUGCGGAUAAAAUUCGCUAUGGGUAUUUAGUACCCACGGGUAGCGGGUAGCGGGUAUCCGCUUGUUAACGGGUCGGGUUCGGGUAUCACAGUAUCCGUACCCUCGAGUACCCGUUUACCCAGAAAAAUAAAAUUAUUAUUUUAUCUAUUAGUUUUUUUUUCUAACUAUUUAAUUAGGUUUUCUUUUUCUGCUCUAAAAUUGGGCCAACGCCCAAAUCCCUUUUUAGGGUUUCUGAAUUUAGGUUUUCCUUCUCCUCCUCGUUAUCGUUCCUCUUACAACUGCACAAUCUACAAACAAUAACUUACAGCUGCACAAUCUACAAACAAUAACCAAAACGAAUGGUAUUACAACCACUUCAGCCCUUCCAUGGCCAUUAUAAUCAUCAUCCUCAUCGCCGCCAUCUUUCUCAUGGGCUUCUUCUCCAUCUGCAUCCACCACUACAACCGACUCCCCCUCCGCAAGCAUCCACAACCUCAUCAGAGCCACCUCUCGCUUGCGUUGUGGCCUCAACCAGGCGGUCAUCGACAUUUUCCCCACUCUCGAGUACUUCGUGGUGAAGAUCCACAAGCUUGGAAAGGGGACAUGUUUGUGGAGUGCAUCGACGAGACGCGCACAACGGUGGUGAUUGAGUAUGCGACAUGACGACAAAGGUGGCGGAGAAAGUGGUUCACAACGUGAGGAGACAACAACGAGAGGCAAAUCUGAUAUCCUUUAGUGUAGAUCUGAGAUACUUUGGUGCAGAUCUAAGCUUGGACGUAGUUGGCCAUGGCGUCGGACUUCACUGCUAGGGUUCACUUCCUGAGAGUAGGCAUGGUAGAGUGGGUUUGAAUUCAAGUUUAAAGUUACUCUAGAAUACGAAACAGUACAAGGGUCAAGGUGGAAGGAGGGAAUCCCUAAAGCCAAAAUCUUAAUGUUCUCUCUCUAAAAAAAAUAGAGUUUGGGCUAUUGGGCUUGGAUAAUGCACACACUAUUGAAAAAUGGGUAUUCGCAGAUUGAAAAAAAUUCGCGGGUUUUUUUAAUACGGGUACCCAGAGGGUAGCGGGACGGGUAACGAGUAUAGCUUUUACAUGCGAGUCGGGUUCGGGUAUCACACUAUCUGUGCCCGACCCAACCCGUUGCCAUCCCUAAUCUCAACUAUGCUAACAUUUCAAAACUCAAGUGUUGCUUCCUAGGUGACGACGAUGAACCUCAUUCAGCAAAUCCUUUGUAUACUAUAUUUGUAGCUCCCUUCACGAGGGUCUGACAAAGCGUCUCUCCUUACACUAGACUGACUCUUCCUUCUUCUCAUCUUUGUCUAGACCCCUUCGAACUUCUCUUUGAUCAUCGUACCUAUGCUAGUCAACACGCGAGUCUCCUCUAUCCAUACCUAACAACUGCCUACUAAAGUGACCGACUUGGAUCAGCUCCUUAACAAUAUCUCUUAGUGUAGCACACUCAUCUAUUGUAUCACCGUAAUUGCGAUGAUCAUUGCAAUGUUUCUUCAUGUCGGCAUUCAAUGGUGCUUAAGAUUUUUUGGGUAGUGGUAGAAGGUUUGUUAGUAAUGUUUCCUCCAACACACGAUACCUAAGAGCAUUUAAUGGUGCGUAACAUGAAAACCAAGUAGACUAGGGCUCUCUCUAGCAGAACCCACUUUAUCGGUCACUCCUUCGAUCACAAUCCUCAUUCUCAGCCUAGUGUUCUCCAUCCUUAAGGCAUCCAUCUCUUUUUGCACUUCUCUUCUUCUCUACUAUUGCUAAAUUUUCAUUUACGCUUCCAACAUCACAACUAAUUCAACCGAGGAGAGUCUUAAACCUAGUUCUUUUGCUUCCACCAUCAAUUUCCUCAUAAACACCGUAUAACUCUUCUCUUCACAAAGUAUACGUCGAACCCCACUGUAGUUCCAAUUGUUCUUACAAAACUAAAUAUACUCAGCAAAGACUCCAACUUUAAACACUCCAAGCUCCAAUUGAAGGUACUUGUCCCUUUCCUUGGUACUCGCUCUAUCCAAGCCGAAUAGGGAUUGUGCCUACAAAAGACAUUAUGCCAUUCAAGUCAGUCAAGUGCAUCAAAUGGUAAUAAAUACGAUAAUUAAUAAACAUAAUUAAUGUACUUAAUAGAAUGUGUUAUUUAUAUAUUACUAUUGAUUGAUCCUUACAUGGGCCUUUCUUGGAUGGGCUUAACCACAUGACCUAAUUACCUAUUAAUCUCGAGUUAAUAUAUGUGAGUUAGAUACAUGUUGACUCAGUUGACCAAAUGAACUUGGUCAAGAAUGAUCCUUAUACUGAAGUAGUCGAAAUGUACUCGAUCAUGUACAAUUCAAUAUAUAUUAUUUUUAAAUAAUUACCAAAAGAAAAUUUUAUUGAAUUGUAGAAUCUUUUACAUUUUUAAAAAAUAUUUAUCAUAAAUUUAUCUUUUUAUUAUUAAAAUGGUCUAUGUAAAUUGGAUUAAUGUUCAUCGACAUCAUUAAUGUUUUUAAGAUGAACAAAAACAACUUUAAGUUUGAAAUUAGUUUUUAUUUUAAAAAAUUAACAAAUAACUUCUUUUAGAAAUUUCUUAUUUUUAAAUUUAUAGUUAGAUAAUAUUUUCAAAGACAUCCUUAAUUUAAGAACUUACAUUGAAGCAGCGGUAAUUAAUUUACAAAUAAGAUAGGUGGAGCAACCCGUGUGUUAUGAUUCACCUAAUGAACCCAACCAAUGUGCCUGUAAACUCAAUAGGAAAAAGUUACAUAUUGACACAUUUUUUCAUUCAUUUCAAAAGAUGUUUUUAUUAUUUUUUUUAUUACAAUAAGCAUACUAAAGGAGUAUAAGUAUGUUAAGAUACUGUUGCCAGUUAUUUAAUAUAGCUAAACUCUUUGAUUAGAAAGGAUGAGAAAGUCAACGAGACAUUUACAAAAACGAAAAAAGAAAACUCACAAAUACCUAAAUAUACAAAACUUAUAUCUUCAUCCACCAUCGCUGCUUAUUUAUGCCAAACGAAAGACAACAUUACUGCCCUGUCAGAAUAAAAUAUUAAAUUACAACUAUCACACCUAAUAAAUAAGAGUAUAUUGAAAAUAUUUAAAUUGUAAAUAUUAAACACUUUUGUCUUAUUAGCUGAACCUUUUCCACCAAAAAAUUGUCGCCGGCUCUUAAUUGAAUUUUAACAAGAAUUCCUUCCCUUGUUGAAAGUUUGGUGGUGUAAAAUGGGUCCCUUUUGUACAAACUUAAUAUCAACUGUCAUACAAAUAUAUAUACACACAACAUCAACAUUUAUUAUAUUAAUACGACCAAGAGUGCUAAUAGCUAUAGCUUAUUUCUUUUGAUAACAUAAAUUCAAAUAAAUUCAAAUAAAUCAAUAAAAUGAAUAAAAUGAUUACACGUAUUUGGUUGUCAAAAAAUGUUAUCAAAAUAUCAUCCUCUUAUACUAUGUAUAUAUAUUCACACAAAAAGUGAUAACUGCCAUUGACCACAGACAAAACCAUUUUUUCCAUUCUUCUUGGAUAGAUCUUAAAAAACUCCAUCAUGAACAAAAGCAGAAAAUGGGAAAGACAAUAAUGAAGGAAAAACCUUUUUCCAUCACGUUAUAUAACUUUUAUUUGCAAUCUCUAUAUUUUCUUGCUUUCUUUUUUGUUUAAUUUCUUUCUUUCACGGCUUUCCCAUCGUCUUUUCUCUCUCAAAGUCUCUGCUCGCGUGACUUGGUGCAGUCCCCUAAUCCUAUUUCACAUUCUCCACCCAACCAUCGAAAUUCACACUUCAAUCAUGACAACCAUAAACACCAAUUCACCCAUCAUUUAAGCCUCAUCAUGCAUUCCCACAUAACUUCUCAACAAACCCCCAUUCAAUUAUUAAUUACACGCCCAAAUUAAAAGGGGUUUUUCUAUUUUGAAAAAAAAAUAAAUUGAUUACAGCCUUGCUCUUUCUCACGAGAAAGCAAAAACUUUUGAUUACAAACGCCUGCACAACAAUAUUAUAAUUUCAUUAAUUCAAAUUAAAGGAAGCAAAGAAAGGCGGUGCAAUAUAAUUAACCUAAUCUAAUCUAAUCUUAGAAGUAAAAUCCAAGCAUCAUGCGUUUGAUAACAAAGCCUCUUCAUCGUCGUCGUCAUCAUCAUCAGGGUGACUUGCAUGAAGUUCCUUUAUCCAUUCAAACGUUCGACGACGUGACGUAACCUUCUUUCCCUGCUUUUGCCUCUGCUUCUUCAACUCUACCACUUUUUCUUUCGCGGCGUGCCUUAUACUUUCUGUCUUGUUGCUACUUUUGCCACCACCGUUACCACCUUUUAUCAUGACCAUGUUGUUCGAUUGCACUGUUUGGAAAGAACAAUCACAACCACUCAAUAGACCACCGCCUUUGCCAACUAACUGUUUCAAAACACCAUCAUUUCCCUUGUUCCUGUUACUUCUUUUCACACUUUUCGCACUGUUGUUGCUGCUGCUGUUACUACUACUGUUGCGACUGACACAGUUUGAUCUGUUGCGAACCUUCAGGUCUUGCAAUCCUAUCUCGGGAGCAGGGACCACACCCAAACGGAAAAUUCCCCAUGCUGACGUUGAUUUUCUACCUGGGUUACCCAAGCUUGAUAAUUGUGUUGGGGUGGGUGCCCUUAACUGAGGCUUUGGACUUGGGUGCAUAUGAAACUGGUUUCGAAUUCUGGGCUUCGUUCUCGGAGGUACUGUAGUAACCUUUUUUGUGGUGGCGAUGGUAGCGGAGCUAGCCGUGCUAGUUGAUGAGUUUUGGCUUCUAAGACUACUGCUUCUACUGCUACUACUACUGUUACUCGGAAAAUCCAAGGAUUCGUUGAUAAAGUGCUUACCAUAAUGUGGUUGAGAUUGAGAUUGAGAUAGUGUGGCUAAUAAGCCAGCCUCGGAGCUGAACGAGACACGCAAUGGGAGGAUUUGGCCCUUGAAGAAAACUUCAUCCGCCACACACAUUUCGGGUUGUUUGGAAAAGGGAGCACCCCAGGAGCGGAAAUUGAAUUCCUCUUGAGUUGCUUCGUUGGCAGCAGAGCGUUGUUCUUGGAGUCUGGGUUGGUCGUUGAGGUUGAUUGGAAGAUCGGAAAGCGACAAUGCUUCUUCUUCUUCUUCUUCUUCUUCUUGUUCUUGAUAUUGAUCUUCUUCCUCUUCUUGGAUAGGGUUCCAUUUUCCUUGGACGAUGUCUGAGGUGGCCAUUUAGGAAGGAACAGGGUUGGUUGGAAAGGUGGAAGGUGUCGGGGAAGUUGGAGAAGGAUGAAUUAAUGGGGUUAAGGUUUUUGAUAGGGUAAAGGUAUUUGAACAGGGUGAGGUGAGGAGGGUGUGGGUGACAGAGUGACACGGACAUUUAGAAUAUAAAAAGAGGUAUAGGAGAGUGUGGCGCCCAGCACUAAAGUAAGAAAUGAAAUGGGGCAUUGUAGCCAUCACGUAAGCGACCCGAGCAAAUAGGAGAACAUAUACCACAAAAGACACGUCCAAUAAGCUCCUCAGACAUCAUUAAAAAAGAGUAUUAUGUGAUAAUCUUCGUAGAAACCCUGGUUAAAGUUGUUUUUGUUGCUUUUGAAGAGCUUGAUGGUGUUAAUAUAGUUGGAAGUGUGAGAAUUGGCAGUAGUAGAGAGAGGACCUCUCUAUCUGUGUGUGUGUAGUGUAUAGCGGGGCUUUAAAGGGUAUAUACUGUUUUGGAAAUGAAGGUCUAAUAAUAUUGUUUUAGUCCAAGUGCGGGUGAGGACCACUGCGCAGUCUGCCAUAUAAUUUGAAAUUGAAUUAUAAAAAGAGUUCAAACAUGAAGCCACUACGUACAGUGCUGCAUUCUCUUCAAAACAUGAGGGUAGGUAUUCCUUUAAGUACACUCAUCAAAGAAAACAAAAAUACAGAUUCAGAUCAAAAUAAAGGGAAAAGAAAAUAAAAAUAUUUCACAACUUGUGACCACAACUAGUAACGAAAAUGAAUUUCUAAAUAUUCAAAUUUCAAAUAACUAAUAUGAAUUGAUUUACCAUAUUCUAAAUUCAUAUUUCAAGAAAAAUCAAAUAUGUACUACACAUUUCAAUUUAAUAUCUACAUGAAAACAUUCCACCAAAUAAAAUCUAUAUUAGAGUUCAAAAAUAUUAAAAUAUGAAGAUUUAUAAUCAUAAAAACUCAAAUUACAACCAAUGAACUAGUAAUAAAAUUAGAAAAUUAACUUAGAAAUUUGUAAAGCCAUAAUAAACAACAAAAAGGUAAAUUGCAUUAUUAGAAAGCAAAAAAAUUAAUGGAAAGAGUCCACCAAAUAACUUGAAAUCAAGUAGAAAGAAUUACACUUGGAAAAUUUGAAAAUGUUCCAAAAUGUACAUGAAAGCUUAUAAAGAAUACUAAGAACUAGGAAUUCUGAGAGUUGCAAAUUUUGAAAAUUUGAAAACUAAUUCUUAAGUAGCUUUGCAAGGUCUUAUGUAAGACUCGUGAUGAAAGUCGACCAAAUUUAUAUUAUUAUGGUGAUAUUUGGACAUUAGAAAAAAGACAAAAAAAUACACUAAGAGACUUCCUGAGAAAGUUAUUUCGACUUCUAGAAUAAUGGUUAAGGGUCAUUCUUACAUCAUUAGAUGGAGUGGGAUUUUUAAGGGGAACAUACAUUAUCAUAGUCACGAGCAUAAGAUUUUUUGUUUCAUUUUCGUCCCAUAGUGUAAUGGAUAUAUCUUGUAUUUAUGUUCUUACUCGCAUUCUUACUAUUUUACUGUUAAUUAAUUAGUUUCUAUUAAAAAAUAAUAAAACUCAUUAAAAAAAACAUAGUAUUAUCAAAUAUUUAAUAUUUUCAUGUUUCCAAUAUAAAAUACUUUAAAAAAAUUAUGAUAUUCUAAAUUUCAAAUAAGAAUAUCAAAUAAUAAGAACAUAAAAGGAAAAGAAAAUAUAAAAUAAUUUACAAUUAACAUAAUUAAAAUUUCAUAUCUAAAACACUAUAAGUUUUGUAAUUUUUGAGACAAAGUUAUAAAUUUAAAAAAUAUUUUAAAAAAUAUAAAAAAUAUGGAAGUUUAAAAAUAUCUCUUUACUAAUAUUUUUUCUCAUAUACCAAUAAAUAUUAGAUUGAAUAAAAUCGUAUAUAAAGAAAAUAUUAAACUAAUAAUAAUUUAAAUUUAAGCAUAAAUAUUUCAUUUUGUUGACUACAAUCUAUGUUGGAUAGUGUAUACAAAAUUUAUAAUAAUAACAUUCAACGAUUGUAUUAUAUAGUAUAUAAAAGAUCUUCAUACAAUUAUGUUAAUAAAAUUAUAUUGAUGAGAAAGAAUUAGAAAAUAAAAAAAUUAUAUAAAAAAAUGAAAUUUGAUAUUUAGAAUUCAUCAUCUCAAAAAGUAAAAUAAAUGAAACAAAAUAUUGUUUAAUUAAUUAGUAAUUUGGUUUCACAAAUAAAAUAAAUGAAAUAAAAUAUGUUCAAUUAGUAAUUUGAUUAAUGUAUUUAAGUGUUUGAUUGAUUGUGAUCCUUAUAUUUGUUUUAAAAUAACUUAAUUUCUAUUUUUUUAAUUUCAUUCCUAAGGAAAACAACACUUAAUAUAGUUUUUAUAUUAAGUUAAUAUUAAUGUCAUUUAAAAAUGUCACAUGUUAAAAUUAAAACUUAAUAUAGUUUUUAUAUAAAUUAAUAUUAAUGUUAUUUGAAAAUGUCACAUGUUAAAAUUUGGAUUUGUCAUGCAUCAAAAUCUAAACCAUAUUUUAAAGAUAAAAAUGAUCGACAUGUAACAAACCUAAGUUUUAAAACUUUAACAUGUGAUACAUUCAAACAGUAUUAUCAUCAAUUUAACAUAAAAAACCAUAAGUUUUUAUACAAGAAUAAAAACUCAAUGGAGUUAAAAAAAAAUAUAAAGACCAAAAUAAAUCAAAAUCUAAAUAUAAAAACAAAAUUAUUAAUUAAACUAAAUAAAAUAAAUCACUAAUUAAACCAGAUAAAAUAAAAUAAGUAAAAUCAGGAUUAUGAGGUUGAACACUUUCUUCCUACAAGUCCAUAUAUUUCUUCCUCUCAUUAAAAGAAAAUCAUUUUACUUUUUCUAAAUUACAAAGUCUGAAAAUAAAAAAUAAUUUUUAAAUUAUGUAAUUUGAAAGUUAAAUAAUUUUUGGAUUAUAAAAUAAAUUUUAAUAUAAUCUAAAAAUAAAACCGCAGAAAGUUGAAAAGUUAAUUCAACAUUAUUUUUAAGUUUUGGAAUGUUUCUUUACAUAUGGGCUGAAGAAAGGAAAUCUGGUAAUCCUGUUUUGCUUCCUGCACCUCCCUUCUUUGCUUCCUACACAUUUCUACUUUAGCCAUUAUUAAAAACUCUAAAAUACUAAUUUCAGACACAUCCUCCUUCUCCAUCUUGACGUCUUCAAACCGUGAUUGGCCAUGGGGACUAGAAAAUUUGCAGACGUAGCAUAACUAGUUAACAGCAUGGAGAAGAAACGUAGAAACAGAAAUUUAAAAGGUUUAAUAAUAGAAAAUGUAGAUUAAGGAAUUCCUUUGGGAUUAUUUGCAGCAGUGGCAGUGGGUGGUGCAGAACCAGAAAGAGUGGGUGCUUCAGUAGCUCCAGCACCACGACCUGUCUUUGGUUGUUGAUGGCCUUGCGUCCCAUAACCCUCUUGCUUAUAAUCCUCCAGAUCCUUGUAUUGCAGGUAUGGACUCUCCUCUAUCGGAAGCCCUUCAAGCCUUUCUUUCCCUUUUUCACUCUCUCUUUUUCCCUCCUUCUCCAUCUUUCUCUUACUUCCUUCUCCAUUUUCAACCUUUCUUUUCUUUAUAUACAAUACUUCUAUUCUGCCACUUGUCCACCUCUCUAACACACGUCUUCUUCACACAAACGUGGCAGCUUUACCACAAUCUUGCUGUUUCUGUCCCAAAAAUAAUUCCAUGGACUACAACCUCUUUCUCCAGAUCCUUCUCCACACCAC